UACGGAGGGGGCUAGCGUUGUUCGGAAUUACUGGGCGUAAAGCGCACGUAGGCGGCUUUGCAAGUUAGAGGUGAAAGCCCGGGGCUCAACUCCGGAAUUGCCUUUAAAACUGCAUCGCUAGAAUUGUGGAGAGGUAAGUGGAAUUCCGAGUGUAGAGGUGAAAUUCGUAGAUAUUCGGAAGAACACCAGUGGCGAAGGCGGACUUACUGGACACAUAUUGACGCUGAGGUGCGAAAGCGUGGGGAGCAAACAGG
rnacentral:rRNA from 1 species